rnacentral:rRNA from 1 species
GAAUCUUGCACAAUGGAGGAAACUCUGAUGCAGCGACGCCGCGUGAGUGAUGAAGCCCCUCGGGGUGUAAAGCUCUUUCGACGGGAACGAUAAUGACGGUACCCGAAGAAGAAGCCGCGGCUAACUACGUGCCAGAAGCCGCGGUAAUACGUAGGCAGCGAGCGUUGUUCGGAAUUACUGGGCGUAAAGAGUGUGUAGGCGGCGCUCUAAGUUUGGUGUGAAAUCUCCCGGCUCAACUGGGAGGGUGCGCCGAAAACUGGAGUGCUCGAGGAUGGGAGAGGCAAGCGGAAUUCCUGGUGUAGCGGUGAAAUGCGUAGAUAUCAGGAGGAACACCCGUGGUGUAGACAGCUUGCUGGACCAUAUCUGACGCUGAGACACGAAAGCGUGGGUAGCAAACAGG